ACUAAGUCAGUGGUAGUUUGUUAUUGCAGGCUCAGAAAAUUAAUACAAGAGUGUCCAGAAGAACAGAGUGCUGUGAUUAAGAACGUGUGCUCUGGAGCCAGACUUCCUUUGUCAGAAUCUCCACUCCACCAGUUACUAGUUAAGUAAUGUAAGGCACACUAGGUAACAGCACAGGACUUGCUGUGAGCCUAGAGCAUGUAGACCUGUGAGUGGUAUAUUGUGAACACGGAACACACGCUAGUCAUUUUUAUCAUCAUCCUCAUUACUAACAUUAUUAUUAUUACCAGCAUAGCUAGAAAGUGCAGCAUGAGGCCGGGCACAGUGGCUCGUGUCUGUAAUCCCAGCACUUUGAAAGGUGGAGGUGGGAGGAUCGCUUGAGUCCAGGAGUUCAAGACCAGCCUUGGCAAUAUGUUGACACCUGUCUCUACAAAAAAUUUAAAAAUUGGCCAGAUGUGAGGGCAUGCGCCUGUAGUCCUAGCUACGUGGAAGGCUGAGGUGGGAGGAUUGCUUGAGCCCAGGAGGUUGAGGCCGCAGUGAAUCAUGUUUGUAUUACUAUCUGUAUUUACCACUAUCUGUAUUUUGUAAUAAUAAUUCCCCUGCUGUUCUUAAUAAUUUAAUCACAUAUUGUUUAGUUUUUGCCUGUUUAUAAAGGGUACAUAUUUGUCUCUGACUUUUUUUUCUUUUUUAUGAGACAGAGUCUCACUAUGUUGCCCAGGCUGGAGUACAGUGGCACAAUCCUGGCUCACUGCAACCUCUGCCUCCCAGGUUCAAGUGAUUCUCCUGCCUCAACCUCCUGAGUAGCUGGGAUUACAGGCGCCCGCCACCACAUCCAGCUAAUUUUUGUAUUUUGAGUACAGAUGAGGUUGUUCUCAAACUCCUGACCUCAGGUGAUCCACCCUCCUUGGCCUCCCAAAAUGUUAGGAUUACAGCCAUGAGCCACCUCGCCCGGCCUUGAAUCUCCUAUAGUGUGUUCAGAUAUAGAAUGUCUAGGUUCAGGUUCCAGCUCUAUUACCUACUUCAUUAGGUCUUGGGCAUACUACUUAACCUUUCUAUGCUUUACGGAAAGAGGGAAGGUGAAUGAGAAUACCCAUCACACAAGAUAGAGAUUUGUUUGGAAUGAGUUAAUACCAGCAUCUCUUUUAAAAUAUCAGUACUCUAUGUCUGAAAAUUAGACAUUUUGUGCUAUUUGGGCUCUAUUUCAUGUUACUUUAAAAUAAAAAACUAUAAUACAUUACACAUCAACCCCAAAUCCCCAACCAAUUUUCUAAAGCAUAACUAAAGGACACUAAGACGCCUGAAGGGAAUCAGGAUAUGCCAUCCCAAAAAUGCCACUUU
rnacentral:lncRNA from 1 species